UACGUAGGUGGCAAGCGUUGUCCGGAAUUAUUGGGCGUAAAGCGCGCGCAGGUGGUUUCUUAAGUCUGAUGUGAAAGCCCACGGCUCAACCGUGGAGGGUCAUUGGAAACUGGGGAACUUGAGUGCAGAAGAGGAAAGUGGAAUUCCACGUGUAGCGGUGAAAUGCGUAGAGAUGUGGAGGAACACCAGUGGCGAAGGCGACUUUCUGGUCUGUAACUGACGCUGAGGCGCGAAAGCGUGGGGAGCAAACAGG
rnacentral:rRNA from 1 species